rnacentral:rRNA from 1 species
GACGAACGCUGGCGGCGUGCUUAACACAUGCAAGUCGAGCGAGGCCCUUCCUUCGGGAAGGAGCCCUAGCGGCGAACGGGUGAGUAACACGUGGGCAACCUGCCCCUAGCACUGGGAUAACUCCGGGAAACCGGGGCUAAUACCGGAUAUGACCUCCGAGGGCAUCCUUGGUGGUGUAAAGGAUUCUGGCUAGGGAUGGGCCCGCGGCCUAUCAGCUUGUUGGUGGGGUAACGGCCUACCAAGGCGACGACGGGUAGCCGGCCUGAGAGGGCGACCG